rnacentral:rRNA from 1 species
UACGUAGGGUGCGAGCGUUAAUCGGAAUUACUGGGCGUAAAGCGUGCGCAGGCGGUUUUGUAAGACAGGCGUGAAAUCCCCGGGCUCAACCUGGGAAUUGCAUUCGAUACUGGAUCGCUAGAGUUCGGCAGAGGGAAGUGGAAUUUCUGGUGUAGCGGUGAAAUGCGUAGAUAACAGAAGGAACACCGAUGGCGAAGGCAAAUCCCCUGG